rnacentral:tRNA from 1 species
GGCACUGUGGCAUAGUAGGUAAAGCCACUGCCUGCAGUGCCAGCAUCCCAUAUGGGCCCCAGGUUCAAGUCCUGGCUGCUCCA